GACGAACGCUGGCGGCAUGCCUAAUACAUGCAAGUCGAGCGAACAGAUGAAGUGCUUGCACUUCUGACGUUAGCGGCGAACGGGUGAGUAACACGUAAGGAAUCUACCUAUAAGCGGGGGAUAACAUUCGGAAACGGGUGCUAAUACAGCAUAAUAUCUUCUUCCGCAUGGAAGAAGAUUGAAAGACGGAUCUGCUGUCACUUAUAGAUGAACUUGCGGUGCAUUAGUGAGUUGGUUGGGUAACGGCCUACCAAGACGAUGAUGCAUAGCCGACCUGAGAGGGUGAUCGGCACAUUGGGACUGGGACACGGCCCAAACUCCUACGGGAGGCAGCAGUAGGGAAUCUUCCGCAAUGGGCGAAAGCCUGACGGAGCAAUGCCGCGUGAGUGAAGAAGGCCUUCGGGUCGUAAAACUCUGUUAUAAGAGAAGAACAAAUUGUAGAGUAACUGCUACAGUCUUGACGGUAUCUUAUCAGAAAGCCACGGCUAACUACGUGCCAGCCGCCGCGGUAA
rnacentral:rRNA from 1 species